AUUACACAAAAUACUCCCAUCAUGUACAACCCCGAUGACGAGCCGAGCAAUUGGUUCAUACUUUUUAACGUGCUUCAGCUUUUUCAACUCUUACGCAAUACAUGAGCGCAAGCCAUGGACAUAGCACUAUGGUGGUCUAAUAUGGUGGUUGUAAGUACAAAAAGUGGGAGAAGAUAGUCUCACAUUGUCACGCCCAAUAUGCGACCCUAUCCAAAAGGAACUCGAAGGCCCCACCAAGGAUAGACCCGCAUAUUGAAGCGCUUUUGCAAGGUGGAUAUCAUUACAUCAACAUUACAUAAUAGAUGGGGAUACAUACAUAAGGCAUACAAUGCCACAUGAAUACAACAUCACAAUACAUCAGAGCAUCAUCCAACUACGGAUGAAACACAAACAGAAACUCAAAUGACAUCCACCCUGCUAGCCCAGGCUGCCGACCUGGAACCUAUCCCUGAUCGAAGAAGAAGCAGAAGAAGAACUCAACGCAAGCAAGCAUCGCUCUCGCGUCAUGAUCAUCGCAUAACCUGCACCUGCAACUGUUGUUGUAGUAAUCUGUGAGCCACGAGGACUCAGCAAUCCCAUUACCAUGGGUAUCAAGACUAGCAAAGCUUAAAGGGAAAGGAAGGGGUAAAGUGGUGAGGCUGCAGCAGCGACUAAGCAUAUAUGGUGGCUAACAUACGCAAAUAAGAGCGACAAGAGAGCAAAAGGAACGGUCGUGAAACUAGCAAUGACCAAGAAGUGAUCCUGAACUCCUACUUACAUCAAACAUAACCCAAAAACUGUGUUCACUUCCCGGACUCCGCCGAGAAGAGACCAUCACGGCUACACACGCAGUUGAUGCGUUUUAAUUCGGAUCUGGUGUCAAGUUAUCUACAACCGGACAUUAGCAAAUUCCCAUCUGCCUAUAACCGCAGGCACGACUUUCGAAAGAUUAUAUCAUGCAGGGGUGUCCCAACUUAGCCCAUGACAAGCUCUCGCGAUCAACGAAGGAAUAGACCUUCUCCCAGGAAGACCCGAUCAGACUCGGAAUCCCGGUUUACAAGACAUUUCGACAACGGUAAAACAAGACCAGCAAAGCCGCCCGAUGCGCUGACAAAUCCUGAUAGGAGCUGCACAUAUCUCGUUCUCAGGGCACACUGGAUGGGUCAGCCUACGAGUAAAACCAGACCUCGAGUUGCCCCGAGGUGGCCCCGCAGUCUGCUCGGUUCGGACCAACACUUAGACAAGCACUGGCCCGAGGGGCUAAAAUAAAGAUGACCCUCGGGUUGGCCGACCCAAGGGAAAUGGAUAGGUGGUGGUGAGGCAAAUGGUAAAACCAAGGUUGGGCCUUGCUGGAGGAGUUUUAUUCAAAGCGAACUAUCAAGGGGGUCCCAUAAAUCACCCGACCGCGUAAGGAAUGCAAAGUCCGGGAACAUAACACCGGUAUGACGAAAACUAGGGCGGCAAGAGUAGAACAAAAAACUAGGCAAGAGGCCAAGCCUUCACCCUUUACCAAGUAUAUAGAUGCAUUAAUAAUAUAAGAGAUAUUGUGAUAUCCCAACCAAAAUCCUGUCCACAAUGGAGAAAUCUUCAACUUCACCUACAACUAGCAACGCUAUAAGAUGGGCUGAGCAAAAGCAGUAACAUAGCCAAACAAUGGUUUGCAUAGUAAAGGUGUCAAAGGUUAGAGGUUCAUGGCAAUAUGGGAUGGCUUGAUAAACAGGUAAUAGGUAGCGCAGCAUAGCGAUAGACCGAAGCAACUAGCAUAGCAAUGAUAGUAGUGAGAUCCAGGGUAGCGGUCAUCUUGCCUGAAAUCUCGCAAGGAAGAAGAACGAGUCCAUGAAGAAGACGAAGCCACGAAGACGAACCAAGCGUAGACGAACGAAUCCUCACGAUCGCAACGAAACGGGAACUAUCGAAAAGAAGCACACAACAAAGUAAACACACCACACAUGAACAGGGCAUGAUGCACAACCAAACAUGAUGCAUGACAAAGCUACACGAAGCUACUCAUGGCAAGAGAUGAUGCAAACAAGAGCAACACAUCGAGGCAAGUUUAAAUGAGGCCGGGA
rnacentral:lncRNA from 1 species